GACUGAGUGGCGGACGGGUGAGUAACGCGUGGGUAACCUGCCUUGUACUGGGGGACAACAGUUAGAAAUGACUGCUAAUACCGCAUAAGCGCACAGCAUCGCAUGAUGCCGUGUGAAAAACUCCGGUGGUACAAGAUGGACCCGCGUCUGAUUAGCUAGUUGGUAGGGUAACGGCUUACCAAGGCGACGAUCAGUAGCCGACCUGAGAGGGUGACCGGCCACAUUGGGACUGAGACACGGCCCAAACUCCUACGGGAGGCAGCAGUGGGGAAUAUUGCACAAUGGGCGAAAGCCUGAUGCAGCGACGCCGCGUGAGUGAAGAAGUAUUUCGGUAUGUAAAGCUCUAUCAGCAGGGAAGAAAAUGACGGUACCUGACUAAGAAGCCCCGGCUAACUACGUGCCAGCAGCCGCGGUAAUACGUAGGGGGCAAGCGUUAUCCGGAUUUACUGGGUGUAAAGGGAGCGUAGACGGUACUGUAAGUCUGAAGUGAAAGCCCGCGGCUCAACUGCGGGACUGCUUUGGAAACUAUGGAACUAGAGUGUCGGAGAGGUAAGUGGAAUUCCUAGUGUAGCGGUGAAAUGCGUAGAUAUUAGGAGGAACACCAGUGGCGAAGG
rnacentral:rRNA from 1 species